UGGGGAAUAUUGGACAAUGGGCGAAAGCCUGAUCCAGCCACGCCGCGUGAGUGAUGAAGGCCUUCGGGUCGUAAAGCUCUGUGGGGAGGGACGAAUUGCCCCGUGAAGAACGGGGAGUGACGGUACCUCCUUAGCAAGCACCGGCUAACUUCGUGCCAGCAGCCGCGGUAAUACGAAGGGUGCAAACGUUGCUCGGAAUCAUUGGGCGUAAAGCGCACGUAGGCGGCCUUGCAAGUCGGAUGUGAAAUCCCUCGGCUCAACCGAGGACGUGCAUCCGAAACUGCUCGGCUCGAGUAUGGAAGAGGGUCGCGGAAUUCCCGGUGUAGAGGUGAAAUUCGUAGAUAUCGGGAGGAACACCAGUGGCGAAGGCGGCGACCUGGGCCAAUACUGACGCUGAGGUGCGAAAGCGUGGGGAGCAAACAGGAUUAGAUACCCCCGUAGUCC
rnacentral:rRNA from 1 species